rnacentral:rRNA from 1 species
CAAGUCGCACGAGAAAGUGGAGCAAUCCAUGAGUACAGUGGCGUACGGGUGAGUAACACGUGGAUCAUCUACCUUCUAGUGGGGAAUACCCCUGGGAAACUGGGGACAAUACCGCAUAAGCUCGUAAGAGGAAAGCAGCAUGCGCUGGAGAGGAGUCCGCGGCUGAUUAGCUAGUUGGCGGGGUAAUGGCCCACCAAGGCGAAGAUCGGUAGCCGGCCGAGAGGGCACACGGCCACCUGGCACUGAACACGGGCCAGACUCCUACGGGAGGCAGCAGUGGGGAAUCUUGCACAAUGGAGGAAACUCUGAUGCAGCACGCCGCGUGAGCGAUGAAGCCCUUCGGGGUGUAAACUUUCGACGGAACGAUAAGACGGUACCCGAAGAAGAACUGCGGCUAAUACGUGCCGCAGCCGCGGUAAUACGUAGGCAGCAAGCGUUGUUCGGAAUUACUGGGCGUAAAGAGUGUGUAGGCGGUGUUCUAAGUUUGUCGUGAAAUCUCCCGGCUUAACUGGGAGGUGCGGCGAAAACUGGAAUGCUAGAGGAUGGGAGAGGUAAGCGGAAUUCCUGGUGUAGCGGUGAAAUGCG